CGCCGUUAAUACCCUUUAGCAGCGACUCCUAGGUAUUUGUCGCCACAAUAAAGGUGAUAUCUUGUAGUGAAUUUGGCCACGUCCAGUUGAUGACUUGCAAUUUCGCCCGAACUGGGUGGGAGGGAGUUGUUUUAAUUUCAAGCUGGCCCAAUGCUCUUGACCACUCGAGCAGAAGAAAAAAAAGAUCUAUAGCUUAGAGAAAGGUUGUAGAGAUGAAGGAAGUAUGUAACGUAUUCAAGGAGAGAUUAUUUUAUGAAGAUGUAGGAAAGGGGCACUUUCUCAAAGGUGCAAGGGUCCCAACAAUCUGAUAAAUACAUGAUUUAUCAGUCUAGCUGUUAUUGAUGUUGGUAACUAAGGAAACUGUGUAAAUCAUAGUGCAACGGAAAGUUGCCAAUUGACAUCAAGCAUAUUCGACUAUCGAAUUGUCAAUUCUUGCAAGUAGCAAAUUUCCCUGCUGAUUAGAGAGUAAGGAAGCACUUAUUUUGGAGCGAUUCCCAACUGCUUAACAUGCAUAGCUGAUAGUAAAGAAAGUUUCAAGUAGAUUUGGCCUUAAUGAAGGGGAGCCUUGGAUGAAGGGGAGCCUUGGAACAACGGUAAAGUUGUUUCCAUGUGAUCCUCUAGGUCACGAGUUCGAGCCGUGGAAACAAUCAUUAAUGUUUGUACUCCCUCCAUUUCAAAUUUAUGUAAACCUGUUUGACUGGACAUGGAGUUAAAAAAAAUGAAGACUUUUGGAAUUUGUGGUCCUAAACAAAU